CCUGGCGGCGAUAGCGCGGUGGUCCCACCUGACCCCAUGCCGAACUCAGAAGUGAAACGCCGUAGCGCCGAUGGUAGUGUGGGGUCUCCC
rnacentral:rRNA from 2 species